rnacentral:rRNA from 1 species
GGCGUAGGCGGCCUUUCAAGUCGGAUGUAAAAUCUCCUGGCUCAACUAGGAGCGACCAUUCGAUACUGUUUGGCUAGAGGACAGCAGAGGGAGGUAGAAUUCCCGGUGUAGUGGUGGAAUGCGUAGAUAUCGGGAGGAAUACCAGUGGCGAAAGCGGCCUCCUGGGCUGUUACUGACGCUGUUGCCCGAAAGCGUGGGGAGCAAACAGGAUUAGAUACCCUGGUAGUCC